rnacentral:rRNA from 1 species
AUUGAACGCUGGCGGCAGGCCUAACACAUGCAAGUCGAGCGGAUGAAGGGAGCUUGCUCCUGGAUUCAGCGGCGGACGGGGGAGUAAUGCCUAGGAAUCUGCCUGGUAGUGGGGGAUAACGUCCGGAAACGGGCGCUAAUACCGCAUACGUCCUGAGGGAGAAAGUGGGGGAUCUUCGGACCUCACGCUAUCAGAUGAGCCUAGGUCGGAUUAGCUAGUUGGUGGGGUAAAGGCCUACCAAGGCGACGAUCCGUAACUGGUCUGAGAGGAUGAUCAGUCACACUGGAACUGAGACACGGUCCAGACUCCUACGGGAGGCAUCAGUGGGGAAUAUUAGACAAUGGGCGAAAGCCUGAUCCAGCCAUGCCGCGUGUGUGAAGAAGGUCUUCGGAUUGUAAAGCACUUUAAGUUGGGAGGAAGGGCAGUAAGUUAAUACCUUGCUGUUUUGACGUUACCAACAGAAUAAGCACCGGCUAACUUCGUG